rnacentral:rRNA from 1 species
GACGAACGCUGGCGGCGUGCUUAACACAUGCAAGUCGAACGGAAAGGCCCUGCUUUUGUGGGGUGCUCGAGUGGCGAACGGGUGAGUAUCACGUGAGUAACCUGCCCUUGACUUUGGGAUAACUUCAGGAAACUGGGGCUAAUACCGGAUAGGAGCUCCUGCUGCAUGGUGGGGGUUGGAAAGUUUCGGCGGUUGGGGAUGGACUCGCGGCUUAUCAGCUUGUUGGUGGGGUAGUGGCUUACCAAGGCUUUGACGGGUAGCCGGCCUGAGAGGGUGACCGGCCACAUUGGGACUGAGAUACGGCCCAGACUUCUACGGGAGGCAGCAGUGGGGAAUAUUGCACAAUGGGCGGAAGCCUGAUGCAGCAACGCCGCGUGCGGGAUGACGGCCUUCGGGUUGUAAACCGCUUUCGCCUGUGACGAAGCGUGAGUGACGGUAAUGGGUAAAGAAGCACCGGCUAACUACGUG